rnacentral:rRNA from 1 species
AUUGAACGCUGGCGGCAUGCCUUACACAUGCAAGUCGAACGGUAACAGGUUAAGCUGACUACUCGCGUACGGGAGAGUUAUGUAUCGGAACGUGCCCAGUCGCGUGGGAUAACUGCUCGAACGAGCAGCUAAUACCGCAUCCGACCUGAGGUUCUAGGUGGGUGGUCGCAAUUCCUCACGCUAUGCGAGCGUCCGAUAUCGGAUUAGGUAGUUGCUGAGGUAAAGGCUCACCAAGUCGACGAUCUGUAGCUGGUCUGAGAGCUCGACCAGCCACACUGGGACUGAGACACGGCCCAGACUCCUACGGGAGGCAGCAGUGGGGAAUUUUGGACAAAGGGCGCAAGCCUGAUCCAGCCAUGCCGCGUGCGGGAAGAAGGCCUUCGGGUUGUAAAACGCUUUUGUCAGGGAAGAAAAGGUUCUGGAGAAUACCUGCGUCUCGUGACGGUACCUGAAGAAUAAGCACCGGCUAACUACGUG